rnacentral:lncRNA from 11 species
GGAAUCCUAAUUUAAAUGACAAAGUUUGUAUUACAGUACUUGCUCUGUAAGGGGGGGGGGGUGCAGUCCCUCUGAUUUUUUUGGGCUGCAACUCCUACUGUUUCUCUCCAAUGACGAAAUUAACAAGGGCUGCUGGAACUUGCCUGUCAGAAACAUCUGGAAGGCUGCUUGAUUUCCAUUCUUCUUUUCAGUCAGUUCCCUAUAGGUUGACAGCUACAUGACUUCUGGAACAUGGCCAUACAGCCUGGAAAACAUACAACAACCCUGUGAUCCCAGCCAUGAAAGCCUUCAACAACACAAAGACCACAGGCCUUAUUCAGAAACACCAACAUUUUUAUUGCUGCACUUCAUCCAGAGCUGGAUCAGCAGAUUUGAAGGUGCCAUUCUGAGAUUUUCAAGCUCAAAUUAAGCCAGGAGAUUGCUUCCCUUCCCUACAUGAUUCAUAAAUAUCGGAACACCACCACCACAUUGACAUCCCUGUUGGUGAAAAUGGCACUGUCAGUCGACUCUGCUUUGUAUCGCUGGAAGCCCCCGUGCCAGUGGUCAAUCGAAGAGGACUCCCAGACUCAGCUAGAAUCAACACCUUUACUGUCAUCUGAGAAAGAGAGAAAGAAAUACAACCUAGAAAAAUGGAGGGUUGUAUUUCCCAGUAAUGAGACAUUUGAAAAGGAAUCAGAGAAAGUCUCACAGAUGUACUCUGGAAAUUGGAUACGCACCACAAAGUACACUUUGCUGACCUUUUUACCACGAAAUCUCUUUGAACAGUUUCAUAGGUAGGUGUAUGCCAGCGUGGUGUAGUGAUCUGACUAGUGGACUAGGACUCAGGAAGACCAACGUCAAAUGUUCCCUUGGCCAUGGAAACUCACUGGGUGACCUCGGGCACAGCAACCUCUCAGCCUAAGAGGAAAGCCAGGACAAGCCCCUCUGAAUAAAAUCUGCCAAGAAAACCUCAUGGUUUGUGGUUUGACCUAGAGUCACCAUAAGUCAGAAGUGGCGUGAAGUACAUAACAGCUGCAGCAGCAGCAAAACACCACAACUAAAAUGAAAAUCAUACAAUUUUUAAAGGCUACUAUGAUUUUUGUAAAUGAAUCUGAAGCCUGUAAUUGUGUCCCUGUACUAUAGAAUCUUUUAGGAAAAAAAUCAGAUACAGAAGGCAUGAGCAAACUUUGGCCCUCCAGGUGUUUUUGACUUCAACUCCCACAAUUCCAAACAGCCAGUAAGCUGGCUGGGGAUUUCUGGGAGUUGGAGUCCAAAACACCUGAUAGAUCAAAGGUUUGCCCACGCCUGAGAUACAGCCAGGUGACACCAAAAUUUCCCUAUUAAAAUAAACCAGCCAUCUAUACGAUUAUAGUUCGUCAGACUGCCCUGUGUCUUUUAAAAUGCAUAAUUCAAUGGAAACUGAUCUUUUGAAUCCUUGAGACUACUUUGUCAUGUGCUUUAUACCAAUUUGUUGCAAAAUAAACAACAAAUUUAGUGGAUUUAUUCCCAUCUGUGUACAGACAGUCCCUGAAUUAUAAACAUCCAACUUGCAAAUGAUUCAUAGUUAAGAAUGGGGGUGAGACAACAGGAAGAGAGAGAAAACCUCCCCUCAGAAGGGAAAUUCAACCCUGAAAGCGUUAUCAUGGGGAAAAGGUGUCUCCACUUAAGUUUUUGCCACCUAUCCUUGUUUCUACUGCAAGCCAUUUUUUUCCAAAUCUAAUUUUCACAGGGACAGAAAGCGAGGCAAAAUCAGGACCACAGACAGCAAAACAAACCCCACGGGUGUUAACCCUUUCCUAUGCUAUCAAAGCUUGCUUUAUUUUUUGCCUGGAGUUACACUUUAAAAAUGUACCUGUUCAGUUUACAAGCAAAUUGAUCUUGUUCAUAACUUGGGGACGGUCUGUAUGUCCUUUUGAGGGUGCACUGAGGUUUAAUUUUUUUUUACUCCCUUCACAAUGGCCAAAGCUCCUCACCAACAUACUGAACAGCCUCUGCAAGUCUCCCCAUGACCAUCCCAUACUUCCUGAGGAGUGGCAGGGUCACAGAAGCAUCUAGCUAUGUCUCCAUUGUCAGAUGCAAAAUUAUGACAUUAGCACAGAAAUCCUUUGGGGUAUGCUAGAGGCCUCGGCACUGCUGUAAUAAUUUUGUGCCUAGUUUUGGUGACAUAGCCAGACACUCCUGCAUUUCUCUCCACUCCCCAGAACAGCCAUGGAGGGCAGGGAGUUCAGCGGCUGUUUGGGAAGGUGAAGACAGUAUAUAGUGCAUCCUAGCAUAGGUCUACAUGUGCAAGUCCUAAUCUGAUACAUUGAACCAUACGGGAUUGGAAUCCUAUAUCCUCUGUGAUUUAAUCCAAAAUGAACACAUCACCCUGUCAUAUACUAGAGAAGUCAGGUUGCAUGAUGAAAGGGAUCAGCUAUAGUAUGGGCAACCCUUUUCCUAAUAUAUCACUGGUGGAGCAUUAGUGUAUGGGAGAAUAUAGUCAGUUGGAUAUACAGGGAUUUGGUUUCUGCUACCAUGUUAUAGACCUGUGGAAUGUUCUCAUCCAUGCCAAGGCCAUGCGUGCCAUUAUACUGAUCAAGGUCUACUACUGCUUUGCACAAAGACUGGUCUGAGAGCAGAAGAUUUUCAGCAACAUUGCCAUGAACUGACUAUUCCACAGAGAAUCCCAGCAGUGUACAUAUUCAGGGAGAAGGGAUCAUCCCAGGAAGCCAAUGAGGAUUUUUCAUAAAGUUGUUAACUGCUGUAUUAAAGCUUUGGCAUAGGUUGUAGACCUAGGUGCAACACAAUAUUUUUUUACUGCUUCGAGUGUAGGGAUGUAAAGCACUGUUUAUUUAGUCCUUGCAUGCAAGGAUGAAUAAUUAUUGUAGUUUUCUCUACACUGCAAGAGGAAAAGUCUUCCUCAUUAUUUUCUUUGUAUUGUAAUGUCCCAAAGCUUUGCUAAGAUAUUAUUUUUCUGAGAAAAAAAUAUUUGUUUUUGUUUUGUUGUAGAUUGGGGGGCAUAAAAAAACCC